CACACACCAGACAAAAACAAGUAAUCUUAAGAGUUGUUUAAUUAUACGAAAGUGUAAAAAAAAGGCUCUGAGAAAGUGGGUGACAGAAAUGGAGAGAGACAGCAAGCACAGCUCAAGGGGCAGGUCCCCAAGAUAAGCCUGAGAAAAUGAUCGGGUGUGACAGGGAGUGGGCUGGGAGGGCCAGGUGGAGGCCGGCCCCGGGUCCAACCCCCAGGCGCAGCCAUCCCCCAGCAGGCCGGCGGAUAAGGACAUCGGCUUCACGUCAUAAAUAAAGCUGGGGACUCGCUGACAGGCCCUGGCACGGCCUCGGCCCCCACAGCCCCUGCUUGCCUCCCCCCGCACCCUACCCCCGGCCUCCCCAGUCUCCCGGGCGGACGCAGCCGCCUCCUGGCUCCCGCGCAAGAAUCGCAGGUGCUGGGCACGAGCAAGGGCCAAAGCUCCGCGGCUCGGCCCCUCCCGACUGCCUUCACUCCCGCCCAGCCCAGAACCUGGAGGGGCCCGGAUGGGGGCUGGAGAGCUUGCAAGAGCUGGUUCUGACCCUCUCUUCCUCUAGGACUCUCUCCGGGACUCAGUUUCCCCAUUAUCUCAUCCUCACCAAACUGAGCAUCCCGAAUGGGUUACAACGCACUUGGACAAAAUAUACAGUGCCGGGCUUCAGGCCCGCUAGGCGGCAGGAGGUCUGGUUGCUGACGUCAUCCACCACCUGCACGGGGCACAGAGCAGCAACCCUCCAGCUGGGGCUGGAGCUUAGAGGCAGAGGUCUCACUAAACAGGAGUACGCAUCACCCUGCCCCUGUGAGCAUCACCCAGCACCCGUGAGC